UAUUGCUGAAUGUGGGGAUAAUUUAUCUCCGUGUUGUAGCUAACGCGUUAAGCACUCCGCCUGGGGACUACGGUCGCAAGACUAAAACUCAAAGGAAUUGACGGGGACCCGCACAAGCGGUGGAGCAUGUGGUUUAAUUCGAUGCAACGCGAAAAACCUUACCACUCCUUGACAUGGAGAUUAGAUCCUUCUUAACAGAAGGGCGCAGUUCGGCUGGAUCUCGCACAGGUGCUGCAUGGCUGUCGUCAGCUCGUGUCGUGAGAUGUUGGGUUAAGUCCCGCAACGAGCGUAACCCUCAUCCUUAGUUGCCAGCGGGUAAGCCGGGCACUUUAAGGAAACUGCCGGUGGUAAACCGGAGGAAGGUGGGGAUGAUGUCAAGUCAGCACGGCCCUUAUGGGGUGGGCUACACACGUGCUACAAUGGUGACUACAAUAGGUUGCAAUGUCGCAAGGCUGAGCUAAUCCGUAAAAGUCAUCUCAGUUCGGAUUGUCCUCUGCAACUCGAGGGCAUGAAGUCGGAAUCGCUAGUAAUCGUGGAUCAGCAUGCCACGGUGAAUACGUUCUCGGGUCUUGUACACACUGCCCGUCACGCCAUGGGAAUUGGCUUAACUCGAAGCUGGUGCGCUAACCGAAAGGAAGCAGCCAUCAA
rnacentral:rRNA from 1 species